CCGAGAAAUUCAAUUAAGGGCUCCUCUUCCCACUUGGAGCCGGUCUCCAGGGCAGAUCUUCCGGCCAACUCGCCCUGUAAGAAAUUAGAAAAUGCUACAAUAAAACCUGAAAAAACUGAAAAAAAUGUGGGAACUUUAAUAAUGAAAGCUCUCACACCGGCCACCGUAAGCACACUCACACCUCCCCUGAGUUGGAAGUCACCGAGAGACAGCGAAGUAGCACAGAUCAUUCAAGGAAAGCCAUCUUCUAUAUUAAAAAUGCCACUGAUAGUACAACACAAGAAAUCAGAUGGCAGCAGAGUGAGCAUCGGCCAGAGGCGAUAACUCCUCAGCGGAUUAGUCUUCAGCAGACAUUAUUCAACAGGAAGGUGAGUCUUUAACUUUUAUUCAUGCACCAUUUUUAUGUGGUAUAGCAAAUAUAGGUAAAAAAAAGAGACUGCCACUGGCUUUCCUCCCUGUCUUUGACAGAUCGGCCCAUGUGAUUUGUAAUUCAAUUGUAUACCAAAAAAAGAAAGAAAGAGAAAAAAAAGCAGUUCGCACAUUUGUCAUUAGUUUUCUGUUUUCUUCAGUGGGAAACAAAUUAUUGGAUAAUUGACUUUCGCAAAACACAAAAUGUGUCAUGCAAUGUGCGGUAUUGCUGUCUUUGCUCCAUGUCAAAGUUGCACCUCUGUUUCUUGGAGCAACUUAAUUGUCUCAAACAUGCACAGAAGCAGCACGUUCGAGUCAUGAUACCCCAAGGCAUAGAUUAAUUAAGCUAUGAAAACCCAUGAGCAGAGAGCAUUCAGCAGGUGCCUGUUUGCCUUGGUAUGGGACUUGUUUUUGGCAGUGGUGCAGUGGCUCAUUAUAAAUCUAUAAUUAAGUUACAAUUUUAUUUGCUUUUUUUUUUUAACAUACUGUCAUAGGGGAUCAACAUGGCUUAAACUCUGAUUCUGUUAAGUGCACUCUUGGCUAUAUCGCUUUUAUGUCUUUAUUCUUCCUCAGGAAUUAUGCUUUGACAAAAAAAUGUGAAUGAGAGGCUGAAAACGAUACUGUGUGUGUCACUUAGUGCUCGGUAUCCCACGCCUCCUGCAGGUGUUGAUGUGAUUCUUAAAAUCUGCUGAUUUGUUCUUAAUCCAAAGCAAGCUGAUUUGCCCACUCCUUUACCUCCUUGUAUCUCGGCACAUAAACAACCCCCCCCACCCCCUCUCCCCUGCUGGCUGAAAGGAUGGUCCUGAGAACCCCCCACAGUUCGACUCAUCCCGUGUUGGGCAUGUUGGCAGAGCUGGGUGAUUGCGAUGUAGCGGCUCUCUCAGGCCAACAUCUGUUGUUCUGAGUCACCUGCCAACAAAGAGGGAGGGUGAGCUGCACAGUGAGGGGCCUGAAGGAGGGAUGAGCAGGUCUGCGGGGGAGAAUCCCUGUAUCUGCAGGGUGGUCAGACUGAAUGAGAGUCACCACCACGGCGGUAGUCUUUGCCAAGAGCUUCCUCAAGCUAACAAUGUGGCCUGUGGAGGGGCAGACUAGGCAGGAAAUUGAGGUUAACGACAUUGUUACAUAUUAAGCAGGGGUUGGCUGCCUCCGUAGGCAAAUCCUUGAAUAGUCAAGCAUGUUAUUAUUCACACGUGAAAUCUAUUAAAACUCACACAGUGUUGGUGGUUCAGUCAAAAUAUCCAUUUUUAGUAAUGUAAAAAACCCCCACAUAUUUUUGGUAUUGCGCUGGAAAGCUUCCUCAGAGUUUUGAGUUUGAAAAUCAUAGAUUCAAAAUAAAAGUUUAAAUUAGUUCUCAUGUUUCAAGUACCAUUAUAUCUGAGUGACCAGGAGAUCACUGCGGUACACUUGAAUCUGAAUUGAAUAAUACAUCUACAAACUCUCUUCAAGUGAAGUGACUAGUCAUCAGUUGUGACUGUUAUGAGUGUUUUCACAGGUGGUAAUUGUGCACUACAGCACAGGUCUGUGCUUUAGCUUUCAUAGCUCAGUCCUUACAAGUGAAUCUCCACACUUUCCUUCACUCUUUCCCCCACUGUGCUUUGCCCAGGGGAGAGACGCCUUCUACGUGUUGUAAUAAGGGUAGCUGAUAUAAUGAAGGUCAUUGUAAUCAGAGCUAAUGUGCCAAGGAGUCAAGACACUGUAGCUUUAUUUGCCAGCAAGGCCCGGCAUUUGGUACCCAUGGGGAUCAGGCUGAUAGUGUUAUCUUUGCUAACCUGACUCUAAUACAGGCCUUGCUCCGCUGUUUGUGUCAGCGUCGGAGCUGAACUUUUCCCAGUGAUCCCCUCCAUGUGUGGAUGGGCAUGGAUUGGGCUCUACUCUGUUCCAUCCUGGUUAAAUCCCAUCCCAAGGUGUUUGGCUUCUCUCAGUUCACGUUCUGCAUUUAGCGAGCAGCGCUCCCUCUCUCUGACUGUCGGACUUGGGAAAACAGGCUGGGCUUCAAUGGAAUGUACUUGACAUAGAAACAUUACAUUGGCAUCUGUUGAGAACUAGCUCGUAAGACAUGACCUCUAAAUCUAAUCCUGUCCCUUAGGAUAUGCAAAUGUCCUCAGCUCAAAUUUGAUUUGUUUUUGACUGUUCAGGACACGGCCGUUUGUUUAUAACUGUUAUCUAACACAGCGGCAGGAAAAAGCCGUGUUCGGUAGACAGUUUCGAUAUUAUUUUCUUGUAAAAAUUUACCUUAAAUGUUAGAAUUAAAAUUCUUCUUUUUUCACCAAGUAUUCGGUAGAAAGAGCUGACCUGAAACGAGUUUUAGUUUCAACCAGGAAGUGAAAACUUUAUGGUUAAUACCGUGUUUAGUUGCAGUUAAGGUUAUUUGUAAAACUGACUGAACCGUUAAACAUGUUAUGCUAAAAAGUUUUUACAACUACAGAUUCACAACUGUCUUCUUCAUUAUUGAAAAUUUUACCUCGAGGCUCUGAUGUCUGAUAUGUGACCUGAUAUUUAUCUAGGAAAAAAGAAAUACCCCAUCCCUACUGGGCAUCAUCAGCAGAGCUUCAACAUUAAUUUCCAUUUUUCUUAUUUUUUUCAUAGUCGCCUUUUAAACUUGGUGCUUUCAGUAGCAAACAUCAAAGAUCCUUUUUCCUAUUCAUCUGAGCACCUCCUGGAAAAAAAAAAAAGGCUAUCCAUAUCUAACCCCAUGAAAGUCCCCUGAUCCCAUCAUUCAAACUUCCAAGCCUCUCUUUGUGGCUUCCUAGAGGACCACGGUGAAAUGAUCUCUUUUGUUUCGCAUCAUUAGUUCCAUCUGUUGUGCGAGCAGGCCUGUCUGUUCCGGAGCAUGGCAACGUGAUGGUCGCCAGGGGCGAUUGGAGACGCUGCCGUCCCGGUGGCUUGUGGCUCAACCUCUGCCACCACCAUUGCCUUGUCCCUGAUCCCCAUGACACCAUCCCAUUCGCUUCACAGUUUCUGCUUAUUUAUUCAUACAUUUGAGCAGAUAAUAAAAACGUAAGCUUCGUGUACAUGCAGUACUAGUUUACCUUAUACACGAGGCCCCUUAGGAGAAGAGUUUGGUUCAGUUGGGACCACAUUCAUACAAUCGUUUGCAAACAACAUACAGAUUUGAAUCUCUAUACCUCAAACGCUUAAAUGUCCACUGUGUGUCAAAAACGAGCUUUAAUAGGUCAGAUUUGUGUGCUUAUUUUCCUGCAGUCGGGAGUAAAUGAUGCGCCAAACAGAUGUAGCAUUUUCUCACAACAAGGAAAUAUUUUAUUCAUGAUUUACAUGAAUGAUAAAUCUUCAGAAAGUCUUAGCGCUGAUGGGCAUACACAAUUUAACAUCUGUCUUCCUCAGAAUAAUUAAUCGCUUACCAGAACACUCGGGACUCAGAGUUGGAUUUUUCCUCUCACUUUACUUGGUCUAAUUACUUCUUUAAAAGCAAAGCUUUCUCUAAAGAAGACUUGAAUGAUAAACACAGCAGCCGUACGCUCCGCAAAAGGAAAAGUUCAGGAAAGAUGAAGGAAACGUUCUGCUCUCGCUUCUUAGUGCCGUGCCUGUAAAACCAAGCAAACCCCACCAUACUUAAGACAGAGAAAUGUGGCCAUACAUUCUAAUUAUAAUUCGUAAUUCCCAAAUGAACAUUUCCAUAAUGUCUCCCAAGUGAAUUGCUCUUAUCACCAUAGUGUGAAUGUACAGCACAAGGGCAUCCGUGUGCAUGUCAAUGCGGAGAUCGCCAGAUAAUUUUCAUUGAAGAUGGAGCCAUCAAAGGUCAUAGCCAUCCGAAUGACCUAACCUUGCAAUGUAACACCUGGGUGUAAAAGUGGACUCAUCCUAUCUACUGGGAUGGGUGUAAUGUACCUCUAAUGUAUAAAGUGCGGAAAUAAAAUAAGAGUUAUAGGUUGGUGGAGGAGGCUCAGUGUGGGCUAGAGAAUACUGUAACUCUAUAGGUUGAAUAGCUGUGUUGGUAUCACCCGAGGUGACAGGCUAUUGCCAAAGUGCUGUAUUUGUUGGAACCAUUAUGAAAUAAAGUGUGUGGAAAAGGGCAAUAUUCAGUUUGAAUUGAUUCUUGGAAAACUCAAGAAGUGAAUAUGCUUUCAUUUUGAUGGUAUUACUAUGGGCAAAAUGUGUUGUGUCAGUUUCACCUCGCCAUUACUUUGCUCCAUUAAGGCAAAACCGAGUGAUUUUAUUUUUGCCCAGUCUAUUUUCUGUGAUAAAAUGAAAAUCUGAAAGCUUUAUUAAGUCUGAGUGACACCUAAAGCUGAGAGCCAACAGGAAAAUAAGUCAUGUGGGAUCUAGUUUCAGUUCAUUUUUGCUCAAUUCCCAUCUCCUGAUCAAAUACUGCACUUUCCAGUAGGGGCUUAAUGGGAGUGUCAAGUUCACAAAGGCCCUCUCUCUCCCACUGACUCCAUUACCUGAUAACAGCGCUGGUUUUGGCACUUAUUUGCACAGUGCAGGGCUAAGCUCGGCUUGUGCCGCGCGCAUUCGAAGCAGGUUGUAAUUGAAGCUGUAUUGAGACCAUUUUAUUAAUUUUUACAAAUCUUCCCUGCCUGUAUUUCCGAGCUACUACGGGCACUAACCCAUCUCAUUUUCCUUUGUGUACUCUGACUACUUGUGCUGCUCUUUUGAAUGCUGCUUCUCUUUAAGCCAAACAAACAUGACCACUGGUGUCUUGGGUUCAGGGCCUUUCAAACAACCUUUCAAUAAAACAAGAUCAGCUGUGAGACAUACAGGAUCUCACAUGCUGGGCAGCCCCGCUGAAAAUACCCUCCCUCCUGUUUCAAAGCCAUCAGCUUUUGGUUCCCCCAGGAGAGCCAGCAUUAUCCUGCAGGGUUUAUUUAAACUUGUUGGGAAGGUCUUGCCUUUUCUUUUUGAUACACUAGGUUAUUUGACAUUUAGGCGAACCCUGUCACAUUUAAAACCUGAUUUUAUUCGGCUUAUUGGUUCAGAUUUCAAAACUUUAGUUGCCAAUUUCCCAGUAAACGCAAACAGUGGCAGAUUUAAGAUAGGGGGUCGAGUAAUGCUGCGCCUGCCGCACUUGCAGCUCGUCCUAUGUUUAGGCAUAGGAUGACUGAUGAUGCGACGCCUGCGAAGCCUGCCAUGCUGCUAGACUUAACAUUUUGUGAGAGACAGUAACCUGAAAGAGAGGAGAAGCAUGAGGAAAAAGGACGGGAAAAAAGCGACAAAUAGGGACAGAUGACACAGGCAUCUUUUACAGCUUGAUAGUGCAGUCCCCGACUUGUUUUUAUUGACCUUUUCUAUCUACAGUAGAAGAUGUGCCACUUAAAUAAAUGUCAUUUGACCAUCUUUGGUUUCAGUGUCACACGCUGACAUGUGGUAUUUUGAUAGAAUUCAUCCGUUUGUGUGGAUAGCGUAUCCACUUCGGCUGCUGUGUUGCGUCACCUUAUAUAGGGCUUUAUUUCACUCGAUGUGGGCACUUUCAGAGCAUCCUUAACUGCCUCUUAAAUCAACAAACUGGUCAGUCUCAGUGCGUUACUUUUUUUUGUACCACCCUAGGAGGACACUAUGCUUUGGCUGAGACAUUAUUGGACCAUUAAAUCGCCACCCCUCCCACUCGCAACCACUUUCGGUUCUGUUUUAAGGCUUUGGAAUUACGUCCAGGUGGUGGGGGGGUUGCAAAAAAGACUGCUGGAAAGGCUACUUAUUCUCUUAAUGAUGUCUUGUCCUUUUUAAAAGUCGUCAUCUUCAUUCACAAAUGGAUGACUAUAGCAGAGGAGCACCCCGAGGGACUGAGGUCAUCCCAACCUCCUUGUCCCAGCAAAGGAAGUUACUGUGUAUGAAAUGAGGCAUGACAGUUUGCGUUAAAAAUUAAAUUUGUUGACAUCGGGUGGGGGGUAGAAUCUAAUGGCACAUAGUAAUUAUUAUAGGGGUGGAUUAGUUAGGCAGGUAUUUAUGAUAAGUUUCCUGCCCAUUAGUAGCUGCGCCCAGGGAAAUGGGGAAUGUUUUGUUGCAUGCCAAAUCUAAAUCUCCAACUUAAUAGUGUAUUUAAAAUGUGACACUGUUAGUUUUCACUAAACUGCUGUAAAUACAGUAUCUUUUUAUUCAAGUAUACAAAGUUAAAGACGUUUCAAAGCUUUUGAAAUUUAAGCCUUUUUUCAGUGUCUGAUUUUAUGACUAGAGGCUCCUUACUCUGGUGGUUUACACAACUGCUUAACACGGGACAGAUUCCCGGUUCAGUCUUGGGAGGAGAUACGAAUGCCUUUGGGGGUGUGACAGGAAGGGCAUCAGGUGUAAAAAAAUAAAUAAAUAAAUCUGCCAUAUCAAACAUACAGAGCUACCUGCUGCGGUGACCUCUUGUGAAGAAGAAAGUCCCUUUCAUGAGUGAUGCAGUGACUAAAAGUUUAGACCAAGGAUCAUUAUUUUUAUCAAAUACUUUUGAAAUAGUAGAAGGUUUUUACUAAUGCACAGACUUUAUACAAACUUGGAUGAGUUUUGCUCCUUCAGGUAAUUUUUCUGUCCUGUUUAGUAAAUAAAAAUUUAACUGGAGGAACUCAUUUCUCAUUUUUAGUGCUGUACUUUUUUAGAGCUAUGCUUUUUUUUGUCCUUUUGUAUGCACUGUAGAUGUAUUUAACUGUGAUUUCAUGGGAGUAUAAUAACAUAAAAAUAACAAAUAACAAAACAAAAACAACUGGACGUUCAAGAUUUUCCCAAAUUAUUCUUGAAAGCUUCACACAAGUUUGAAAAGUAAAUAAGGAGAGCACCUGAAACAAUAGUACAGUUUACUGCAUGUUGCCUUUUCCUUCAAUCCCCGAACCUUUGGACUGCCUACAAGCUCACAUCAAGCGAGCGAGGUGUAGUCGGUGAUAUACAUGACACGCGUCUCUAAGGACCCUCUGAUUUGUAUAAUAUCCUUCAGACAAGGUCAUAGCAUUGCCUACAUCUUUGAAGAUAGAGGAAAGAGAACAUGUUCCCCCCUCAUUGUGCCUGUGGAAUAGAACAAACGUGAGAUCACGGUGUCGAGGGGCUUCCACUCUUCAAAGUUGAUAUGAAUCAGACAUGAAAUGAUUUAGAUAAAGUGAUAGUUAUCUUGAUUCCCGGCGCCGUCCGUUGAAUAGACACGGCGACGCGCGGGGAAGCUGAAUGGCUGUGUUUUAGUGUGAAAUCCCGGGGAAACGUAUCCAUCUGGUAUAUGAAUAAUUUAGAUGGCUGAAGUUGGUUCCUGUUGCUGUUGUGUUUGCGCUCAGCUUUCUCUCUCAGCUCAGCACCCCCACCAUCACCCUCCCUCCUUGACAUCACUCCUGAGGUUUGUUUGUGAUGCUUAAAGGGAAGUUGGGCCACAUGAGGAAUCGAGGGGAGGAGAGACUCACUUUCCCUCUCUGCUGUGCUUUCUGUGUCUUCUUUCUUUCUUAGAUCUACAUAAACCUCAGAUAAACAGUUAAACACCCGCUGACACACAUAGCCUGUCAGCCAGCCAGGCAUGUUGCAUGUGGGAAACACUCUUCAGAUAUCGAGACGCUUUGUUUUAUAUGGUAGACAUUGCACACGUUUGAAACUUGUAUACACUGGAUUCUCUUAAUUGAAAUCUGAUUUUUUUUUUUAGUGUUCACUGAGCAUCAUGGUAAUGAGGCUGGGUGUGACUGCAGAUGGAUAUUUAUUUGACACAUAUAAAUGGAUAUUUGGUGGAAGGUCUUCCAAUAUGGAGCAGUGUAAAAUGGAUUCAAAGAUCUGAAUUGUCCCUGCAGCACCAAGCAAAGGCAAACACACGCGUGCACGUACAACAAUCACACGUAUGCAGAAUUUACGGUUUCAGCGCAGAUGUACAAAAUUGCAAUUGUGUACAUGCACUUGCAUAACAAACAACAGCAACAACAAAACACGUGUUCUGGCAAAAAUGUGCAAAAGUGUUUGUGGACAGAUAACACACAAACAUGCAAAUCCACUAAUAUGCCAGGCCAGCUAUACUAAUCCAGUCCCUGUCUUUAAGGGAACCAGUCAGG